CUCAGCCCCUGAUUCUCUAGC
rnacentral:miRNA from 1 species